AUCCAGCUUACGUGUCCCAAACAGGAUGGAACGCGUGUCCUGAAU
rnacentral:hammerhead_ribozyme from 1 species